GACGAACGCUGGCGGCGUGCUUAACACAUGCAAGUCGAACGAAGAGCGAUGGAAGCUUGCUUCUAUCAAUCUUAGUGGCGAACGGGUGAGUAACGCGUAAUCAACCUGCCCUUCAGAGGGGGACAACAGUUGGAAACGACUGCUAAUACCGCAUACGAUCUAAUCUCGGCAUCGAGGAUAGAUGAAAGGUGGCCUCUACAUGUAAGCUAUCACUGAAGGAGGGGAUUGCGUCUGAUUAGCUAGUUGGAGGGGUAACGGCCCACAAAGGCGAUGAUCAGUAGCCGGUCUGAGAGGAUGAACGGCCACAUUGGGACUGAGACACGGCCCAGACUCCUACGGGAGGCAGCAGUGGGGAAUCUUCCGCAAUGGACGAAAGUCUGACGGAGCAACGCCGCGUGAGUGAUGACGGCCGUCGGGUUGUAAAGCUCUGUUAAUCGGGACGAAAGGCCUUCUUGCGAAUAGUGAGAAGGAUUGACGGUACCGGAAUAGAAAGCCACGGCUAACUACGUG
rnacentral:rRNA from 1 species